UACGUAGGGUGCGAGCGUUGUCCGGAAUUAUUGGGCGUAAAGGGCUCGUAGGCGGUCUGUCACGUCGAAAGUGAAAACUCAGGGCUUAACCCUGAGCCUGCUUCCGAUACGGGCAGACUAGAGGUAUGCAGGGGAGAACGGAAUUCCUGGUGUAGCGGUGAAAUGCGCAGAUAUCAGGAAGAACACCCGUGGCGAAGGCGGCUCUCUGGGACGGUACUGACGCUGAGACGCGAAAGCGUGGGGAGCGAACAGG
rnacentral:rRNA from 1 species